rnacentral:lncRNA from 1 species
GCAGGUUCCAUAUCAGCUAACUGCCGGGAGCUUUGGAACAGGAAAUGAAGCACAAAAAGAGUAUGGUACUCUUUUAAGCAGGUGACCUGAUGGCAAAAAGAAAGCUUCGCCAUUUCCGCAAUAGACGUCGACAUCAAGGGUUGUCCUCAAGACCCCAGUAGUAGACGAUGGGAGCAGAGACGAGAAGCCAACCUUUCGCUGAGGUACACCAUGGAAAUUGUCAUUUGAGCUAAAGAAACAGAGGUCCUCGGUGGUGCGCCUCACAAACCACCCUUCACUCAGAGAGAGGAGGAGCUCUACGCAGAUCCUGGAAACUAACUUCUAGAAUGGACCGGCUGGGCGAGACGACGGAGCAGAAGCGAGACGUCAGCGACGCAUCGAAGCUUCUUGCAGUUCUCGGAUCUCA